UACGGGGGGGGCAAGCGUUGUUCGGAAUUACUGGGCGUAAAGGGCUCGUAGGCGGCCAACUAAGUCAGACGUGAAAUCCCUCGGCUUAACCGGGGAACUGCGUCUGAUACUGGAUGGCUUGAGGUUGGGAGAGGGAUGCGGAAUUCCAGGUGUAGCGGUAAAAUGCGUAGAUAUCUGGAGGAACACCGGUGGCGAAGGCGGCAUCCUGGACCAAUUCUGACGCUGAGGAGCGAAAGCCAGGGGAGCAAACGGG
rnacentral:rRNA from 1 species